rnacentral:rRNA from 1 species
GACGAACGCUGGCGGCGUGCUUAACACAUGCAAGUCGAACGGUGAAGCCCCAGCUUGCUGGAGUGGAUCAGUGGCGAACGGGUGAGUAACACGUGAGCAACCUGCCCCAGACUCUGGAAUAAGCGCUGGAAACGGCGUCUAAUACUGGAUACGAGAUCAAGCCGCAUGGUUAUGGUCUGGAAAGUUUUUCGGUUUGGGAUGGGCUCGCGGCCUAUCAGCUUGUUGGUGGGGUAAUGGCUCACCAAGGCGACGACGGGUAGCCGGCCUGAGAGGGCGACCGGCCACACUGGGACUGAGACACGGCCCAGACUCCUACGGGAGGCAGCAGUGGGGAAUAUUGCACAAUGGGCGAAAGCCUGAUGCAGCGACGCCGCGUGAGGGAUGACGGCCUUCGGGUUGUAAACCUCUUUCAGCAGGGAAGAAGCGAAAGUGACGGUACCUGCAGAAGAAGCACCGGCUAACUACGUG